UGAGAAUUGAUUACUUUAUGGACAUUGGCUAAUGGAAGACUCUUAAAAUACCAGCCAUGUAGUGUCCUAUAGAUCAUUUCGCUAUUUAUAAACCAGGUCUAGCCUUUUACAACUCUGCAUUCAACUCACGGUGAGAAAAACAACACAUAAAUCAUGUAUACAAAGUAUGGGAAACAUAGGCUACAACACAAUAAAAUAUAACCGAAUAAAGCCAAUGUAGAAGUAACGUUUUAGUGUUCAGGCUGGCCUGCUCUGGGUCAGUAGGGCCCACAAUCUAUGUCCAGGAGACUAGCUCUCAAGCGCCUCCCGUGGCCAUGUAGACCUUUCACAGCACGUGUAAGGUGAUGAGGGAGUGAGCUGGUUGGUUCUGGG